rnacentral:rRNA from 1 species
UUCCCCAAUGCAAGUAUUGCAUAUAGAGUUCUCCUGACUAUACAUGUGACUAUUGCAUCAACAAAACAGAGCUUUUCUAAAUUGAAGGUACUGAAGUCCUAUAUAUGUAUUGGAGAAGAUUUCUUGCGAUCAUAUUAUUGA